rnacentral:rRNA from 1 species
UGGGCGAGAGACCGAUAGCAAACAAGUACCGCGAGGGAAAGAUGAAAAGGACUUUGAAAAGAGAGUCAAAGAGUGCUUGAAAUUGUCGGGAGGGAAGCGAAUGGGGGCCGGCGAUGCGCCUCGGUCGGAUGUGGAACGGUUAACGCCGGUCCGCCAAUCGACUCGGGGCGUGGAUCGGUGCGGAUUGGGACGGAGGCCAAAGCCCAGGAAGUCGUUAAGCCUGCGGAGACGCCUUCGCCCCGAUCGUGGCUGGCAGCGNGCGCCAUUUCGGCGUGCUUCGGCAUCUGCGCGCUCCCGG